GGUUUUUUGAGUUUAGAUAAAAAAUCAGGCCUGCCCACUGAUGAAGGGCUGCAGUAUUUUGACUGUACAAAGGUAGCAUAAUCAUUAGUCUUUUAAUUGGGGACUGGUAUGAAAGGUUAGACGGGAAUAAGCUGUCUCAAUUGUAAAAAUAAAUUUUAUUUUUAAGGAAAAGAGCUUAAAUUUUUCAAGGGGACGAGAAGACCCUAUUAAAUUUGAUAUAGUAAAUUAUUUUUAGUUGUAUAAAAGAAGUAAAUGUAUAUUAAUUUUGCUGGGGCGGCAUGUUUAUAACUUUAUUAUAAUUUAAUUUAGUAAAUAGCGAGUUUUUGAUCCAAGGAGAUUGAUAUUAGAUAAAAUUACUAUAGGGAUAACAGCGUGAUAUUUUUUGAGAGUUCUUAUUGACAAGAAUGUUUGCGACCUCGAUGUUGGAUUAAGAAGUCUUAUUGGUGCAGUAGUUUUUGAAGAAGGUCUGUUCGACCUUUAAAUUCUU
rnacentral:rRNA from 1 species